UACGAAGGGGGCUAGCGUUGUUCGGAAUUACUGGGCGUAAAGCGCACGUAGGCGGAUAUUUAAGUCAGGGGUGAAAUCCCAGAGCUCAACUCUGGAACUGCCUCUGAUACUGGGUAUCUUGAGUAUGGAAGAGGUGAGUGGAAUUGCGAGUGUAGAGGUGAAAUUCGUAGAUAUUCGCAGGAACACCAGUGGCGAAGGCGGCUCACUGGUCCAUAACUGACGCUGAGGUGCGAAAGCGUGGGGAGCAAACAGG
rnacentral:rRNA from 2 species